rnacentral:rRNA from 1 species
AUUGAACGCUGGCGGCAUGCCUUACACAUGCAAGUCGAACGGCAGCACGGGAGCAAUCCUGGUGGCGAGUGGCGAACGGGUGAGUAAUAUAUCGGAACGUGCCCAGUCGUGGGGAUAACGUAGCGAAAGCUACGCUAAUACCGCAUACGAUCUAUGGAUGAAAGCGGGGGAUCGCAAGACCUCGCGCGAUUGGAGCGGCCGAUAUCAGAUUAGGUAGUUGGUGAGGUAAAGGCUCACCAAGCCGACGAUCUGUAGCAGGUCUGAGAGGACGACCAGCCACACUGGGACUGAGACACGGCCCAGACUCCUACGGGAGGCAGCAGUGGGGAAUUUUGGACAAUGGGCGCAAGCCUGAUCCAGCAAUGCCGCGUGCAGGAUGAAGGCCUGGUUGUAAC